rnacentral:rRNA from 1 species
GCGCACGGGUGAGUAACACGUGGGUAAUCUGCCCUGGAGUGGGGAAUAACACCGGGAAACCGGUGCUAAUUCCGCAUACGAUCACGAGGUCUGAGGAUUUUGUGAUGAAAGGAGCAAUUCGCUCUAGGAGGAGCCCGCGGCUGAUUAGCUAGUUGGUGAGGUAAUGGCUCACCAAGGCAACGAUCAGUAUCCGGUCUGAGAGGACGGUCGGACACACUGGAACUGAGACACGGUCCAGACUCCUACGGGAGGCAGCAGUGGGGAAUUUUUGGCAAUGGGGGCAACCCUGACCAAGCAACGCCGCGUGGGUGAUGAAGUCUCUUGGGACGUAAAACCCUUUCGACGGGGACGAAGCCGCAAGGUUGACGGUACCCGUAGAAGAAGCCCCGGCUAACUCCGUGCCAGCAGCCGCGGUAAUACGGGGGGGGCGAGCGUUGUUCGGAAUUACUGGGCGUAAAGGACGCGUAGGCGGUUCGCUAAGUUGGAUGUGAAAACUCUGGGCUCAACCCAGAGCCUGCAUCCAAAACUGGCGGGCUAGAGUUCUGGAGGGGGUAGCGGAAUUCCUGGUGUAGCGGU